rnacentral:rRNA from 1 species
GAGUUUGAUCCUGGCUCAGGAUGAACGCUGGCGGCGUGCCUAACACAUGCAAGUCGAACGAGCAUGUGCAUGAAACCUAGUGAUUGCGCAUGCGAGUGGCGGACGGGUGAGUAACGCGUGGACAACCUGCCGCAUGCAGGGGGAUACCGGCUGGAAACAGCCGCUAAUACCGCAUAUGCGCACAGCGCCGCAUGGCGCAGUGCGGAAAGGGAGCAAUCCCGGCAUGCGAUGGGUCCGCGUCCGAUUAGCUUGUUGGCGGGGCAGCGGCCCACCAAGGCAACGAUCGGUAGCCGGCCUGAGAGGGCGGACGGCCACAUUGGGACUGAGACACGGCCCAGACUCCUACGGGAGGCAGCAGUGGGGGAUAUUGCACAAUGGGGGGAACCCUGAUGCAGCGACGCCGCGUGGGUGAAGGAGUGCUUCGGCAUGUAAAGCCCUAUCGGCAGGGAAGAAGCAAGACGGUACCUGACUAAGAAGCCCCGGCUAACUACGUGCCAGCAGCCGCGGUAAUACGUAGGGGGCGAGCGUUAUCCGGAUUCACUGGGUGUAAAGGGAGCGUAGACGGCCAUGCAAGCCAGGGGUGAAAGCCCGGGGCCCAACCCCGGGACUGCCCUUGGAACUGCAUGGCUGGANUGCGGGAGGGGCAGGCGGAAUUCCUGGUGUAGCGGUGAAAUGCGUANAUAUCAGGAGGAACACCGGGCGGCGAAGGCGGCCUGCUGGACCGCGACUGACGUUGAGGCUCGAAAGCGU